GGCGGCACGCCUAACACAUGCAAGUCGAACGAAGUAGCAAUACUUAGUGGCAGACGGGUGAGUAACAUGUAGGUAUCUACCCUUUGGCCUGGAAUAACACGAGGAAACUUGUGCUAAUACCGGAUAAGUCUUUACGGAGAAAGCUUUAUGCACCAUUGGAUGAGCCUGCACUUGAUUAGUUUGUUGGUGGGGUAAUGGCCUACCAAGACUGUGAUCAAUAGCUGAUUUGAGAGGAUGAUCAGCCACAUUGGGACUGAGACACGGCCCAAACUCCUACGGGAGGCAGCAGUGGGGAAUCUUGCACAAUGGAGGAAACUCUGAUGCAGCGAUGCCGCGUGAGUGAAGAAGGCCUUUGGGUUGUAAAGCUCUUUCGUCGGGGAAGAAAAUGACUGUACCCGAAUAAGAAGGUCCGGCUAACUUCGUGCCAGCAGCCGCGGUAAUACGAAGGGACCUAGCGUAGUUCGGAAUUACUGGGCUUAAAGAGUUCGUAGGUGGUUGAAAAAGUUGGUGGUGAAAUCCCAGAGCUUAACUCUGGAACUGCCAUCAAAACUUUUCAGCUAGAGUAUGAUA
rnacentral:rRNA from 1 species